GUUUGAUCCUGGCUCAGGACGAACGCUGGCGGCGUGCUUAACACAUGCAAGUCGAACGAUGAAGCCUUUCGGGGUGGAUUAGUGGCGAACGGGUGAGUAACACGUGGGCAAUCUGCCCUUCACUCUGGGACAAGCCCUGGAAACGGGGUCUAAUACCGGAUAACACUCUGUCCUGCAUGGGACGGGGUUGAAAGCUCCGGCGGUGAAGGAUGAGCCCGCGGCCUAUCAGCUUGUUGGUGGGGUGAUGGCCUACCAAGGCGACGACGGGUAGCCGGCCUGAGAGGGCGACCGGCCACACUGGGACUGAGACACGGCCCAGACUCCUACGGGAGGCAGCAGUGGGGAAUAUUGCACAAUGGGCGAAAGCCUGAUGCAGCGACGCCGCGUGAGGGAUGACGGCCUUCGGGUUGUAAACCUCUUUCAGCAGGGAAGAAGCGAGAGUGACGGUACCUGCAGAAGAAGCGCCGGCUAACUACGUGCCAGCAGCCGCGGUAAUACGUAGGGCGCAAGCGUUGUCCGGAAUUAUUGGGCGUAAAGAGCUCGUAGGCGGCUUGUUGCGUCGGUUGUGAAAGCCCGGGGCUUAACCCCGGGUCUGCAGUCGAUACGGGCAGGCUAGAGUGUGGUAGGGGAGAUCGGAAUUCCUGGUGUAGCGGUGAAAUGCGCAGAUAUCAGGAGGAACACCGGUGGCGAAGGCGGAUCUCUGGGCCAUUACUGACGCUGAGGAGCGAAAGCGUGGGGAGCGAACAGGAUUAGAUACCCUGGUAGUCCACGCCGUAAACGUUGGGAACUAGGUGUGGCGACAUUCCACGUCGUCGGUGCCGCA
rnacentral:rRNA from 1 species